rnacentral:rRNA from 1 species
UACGAGGGGGGCAAGCGUUGUUCGGAAUUACUGGGCGUAAAGGGCUUGUAGGUGGCCAACUAAGUCAGACGUGAAAUCCCUCGGCUUAACCGGGGAACUGCGUCUGAUACUGGAUGGCUUGAGUGUGGGAGAGGGAUGCGGAAUUCCAGGUGUAGCGGUGAAAUGCGUAGAUAUCUGGAGGAACACCGGUGGCGAAGGCGGCAUCCUGGACCAUUACUGACACUGAUAAGCGAAAGCCAGGGGAGCAAACGGG